CCUACGGGGGGCAGCAGUGAGGAAUAUUGGUCAAUGGACGAGAGUCUGAACCAGCCAAGUAGCGUGAAGGAUGACUGCCCUAUGGGUUGUAAACUUCUUUUAUAUGGGAAUAAAAUGUUCCACGUGUGGGAUUUUGUAUGUACCAUAUGAAUAAGGAUCGGCGAACUCCGUGCCAGCAGCCGCGGUAAUACGGAGGAUCCGAGCGUUAUCCGGAUUUAUUGGGUUUAAAGGGAGCGUAGGUGGAUUGUUAAGUCAGUUGUGAAAGUUUGCGGCUCAACCGUAAAAUUGCAGUUGAAACUGGCAGUCUUGAGUACAGUAGAGGUGUGCGGAAUUCGUGGUGUAGCGGUGAAAUGCUUAGAUAUCACGAAGAACUCCGAUUGCGAAGGCAGUUCACUGGACUGCAACUGACACUGAGGCUCGAAAGUGUGGGUAUCAAACAGGAUUAGAUACCCCUGUAGUC
rnacentral:rRNA from 1 species